ACCACACCUGGCUAAUUUUGUAUUUUUAGUAGAGACAGGGUUUCUCCAUGUUGGUCGGGCUGGUCUCGACCUCCCGACAUCACGUGAUCUGCCCGCCUCAGCAUCCGAAAGUGCUGGGAUUACAGAUGUGACCUAUCGUGCCCAGCCGCUAAACCUCAUCUUUAAAAAAGAAGAACAAAAUAGAACAUGGACAAGAUGGCUGGGGUCCUGUGGAGUUCUAGUAAUCUUCUUACGAUAAUAAAGCAACCUUAUGCCAUAUGAUAUGCUAAGGAUGGAGGAAGAUAGAGUCUAGGUGCCUGAUGACAACAUGGAGCUGUCAAGCCCUGCAUUGCCUCCCCCUGGACGUCUCAUUAUGGGAGAAAAUGAAGCAAUUUGUUUAAGCCACACUGAUCUUUUUUCCUAUUUUUCUUUUUCUUUUGUUGAGUGUGUGUUUGUGUCUGUUAUUUACAGCUGAUUGUAAGUCAUAACUGAUGUGGUAGUGGGACUGUGUAA
rnacentral:lncRNA from 1 species